GAUGAACGCUGGCGGCGUGCUUAACACAUGCAAGUCGAACGGUGAAGGCGGAGCUUGCUCUGCUGGAUCAGUGGCGAACGGGUGAGUAACACGUGAGCAAUCUGCCCCUGACUCUGGGAUAAGCGCUGGAAACGGCGUCUAAUACUGGAUACGAGCUGCGAAGGCAUCUUCAGCAGCUGGAAAGAAUUUCGGUCAGGGAUGAGCUCGCGGCCUAUCAGCUUGUUGGUGAGGUAAUGGCUCACCAAGGCGUCGACGGGUGGCCGGCCUGAGAGGGUGACCGGCCACACUGGGACUGAGACACGGCCCAGACUCCUACGGGAGGCAGCAGUGGGGAAUAUUGCACAAUGGGCGAAAGCCUGAUGCAGCAACGCCGCGUGAGGGACGACGGCCUUCGGGUUGUAAACCUCUUUUAGCAGGGAAGAAGCGAAAGUGACGGUACCUGCAGAAAAAGCGCCGGCUAACUACGUG
rnacentral:rRNA from 1 species